rnacentral:ncRNA from 1 species
GAGUAGUUUUAUUCUUGCUUUUUUGUUUGUUUUUGGUUUUUUUUAUAUGUAAGUUUUUGCGUGAUUGGUUUUAUUCUUAAUGUUGUUUGUUUUUUUUAUUCGCAUUAUUUAUUUUUAUAUAUUGAGGUGACUCAGAUUUAGUUAUAUUUUUUAGAGUUGGUUGAAUUUGUGCCAGCAGCCGCGGUUAUACAUGGAGCUCGAGCAAAUAUUUUUUGGUUGAUAGUUUUAUUUAAUUUUUGGGUUUAAUUUCUUUUGAUUUUUGGUGAAAUUUCAAUUUCUUGUUUUUCCUUUUUUUUGUUUUGUAGGCUAUGAAAUCUUUUUUUAAACUAGGAUUAGAUACCCUAUUAUUUUUGAUGUUAAUUUUGUGGCCUGAGUAGUAUUAGUUAUGUUCUUGAAACUUAAAGAAUUUGGCGGUAUUUUAUUCUGUUCAGAGGAAUCUGCCCUAUUAUCGAUAAUCCGCGUUGGACCUUACUUAUUUUUUUGUUUGUAUACCGCCGUUAUAAUGAGAAUCUUUUGAGGGUUAUAAUUUUUUCUUUCCUUUAUUUUGGUUUAUUUCAGGUCAAGGUGCAGCUUUUAUUUAAGUUGGUGGUGGAUUACAUUGUUAUUAAUUUUUGGAUUGUUUGUUGAAAUUUCUUUCAUGAAAUUGGAUUUGAUUGUAAUUGUUUGAAGAUUGUUUUUGUGAUUUUAGUUCUAAAGUAUGUACACAUCGCCCGUCGCUCUCGUUGUUUUAAGAGGCGAGAUAAGUCGUAACAGAGUGGUUGUACCGGAAGGUGCGGCUGGAAUG